rnacentral:tRNA from 1 species
GGCCGACCCUAGUUGCCUCGUGCCGUUGGGCUCAUAACCCAAAGGUCGGGGGUUCAAAUCCCCCCCCGCAACCA